AGGCUGGGGGCACCCUGAUCCAGCCAUGCCGCGUGUGUGAAGAAGGCCUUUUGGUUGUAAAGCACUUUAAGCAGUGAAGAAGACUCCAUGGUUAAUACCCAUGGACGAUGACAUUAGCUGCAGAAUAAGCACCGGCUAACUCUGUGCCAGCAGCCGCGGUAAUACAGAGGGUGCAAGCGUUAAUCGGAAUUACUGGGCGUAAAGCGAGCGUAGGUGGCUUGAUAAGUCAGAUGUGAAAGCCCCGGGCUCAACCUGGGAACGGCAUCUGAUACUGUUAGGCUAGAGUAGGUGAGAGGAAGGUAGAAUUCCAGGUGUAGCGGUGAAAUGCGUAGAGAUCUGGAGGAAUACCGAUGGCGAAGGCAGCCUUCUGGCAUCAUACUGACACUGAGGUUCGAAAGCGUGGGUAGCAAACAGGAUUAGAUACCCUGGUAGUCCACGCCGUAAACGAUGUCUACUAGUCGUUGGGUCCCUUGAGGACUUAGUGACGCAGCUAACGCAAUAAGUAGACCGCCUGGGGAGUACGGCCGCAAGGUUAAAACUCAAAUGAAUUGACGGGGGCCCGCACAAGCGGUGGAGCAUGUGGUUUAAUUCGAUGCAACGCGAAGAACCUUACCUGGUCUUGACAUAUCUAGAAUCCUGCAGAGAUGCGGGAGUGCCUUCGGGAAUUAGAAUACAGGUGCUGCAUGGCUGUCGUCAGCUCGUGUCGUGAGAUGUUGGGUUAAGUCCCGCAACGAGCGCAACCCUUGUCCUUAGUUACCAGCGGUUUGGCCGGGAACUCUAAGGAUACUGCCAGUGACAAACUGGAGGAAGGCGGGGACGACGUCAAGUCAUCAUGGCCCUUA
rnacentral:rRNA from 1 species